AGGACGAACGCUGGCGGCGUGCCUAACACAUGCAAGUCGAACGAGGUCCAGUCUGUAGCAAUACAGAUGAAGACCUAGUGGCGAACGGGUGAGUAGCACGUGAGCAACCUGCCCCGAAGACCGGGACAACACCGGGAAACCGGUGCUAAUACCGGAUAUCCCCAUCGAGUCGCAUGGCUUGAUGAGGAAAUGGAUUCCGCUUCGGGAGGGGCUCGCGGCCUAUCAGCUUGUUGGUGAGGUAACGGCUCACCAAGGCUUCGACGGGUAGCUGGUCUGAGAGGACGAUCAGCCACACUGGGACUGAGACACGGCCCAGACUCCUACGGGAGGCAGCAGUGGGGAAUCUUGCACAAUGGGCGAAAGCCUGAUGCAGCAACGCCGCGUGAGGGACGAAGGCUUUCUGAGUUGUAAACCUCUUUCAGCAGGGACGAUUGUGACGGUACCUGCAGAAGAAGCCCCGGCAACUACGUGCCAGCAGCCGCGGUAA
rnacentral:rRNA from 1 species